UUUCCGUAGGUGAACCUGCGGAAGGAUCAUUAAAGAGAAUAUGCCCUUCGGGGUAGAUCUCCCACCCUUUGUUUAUAUUACCUUUGUUGCUUUGGCAGGCCCGUCUUCGGACCACCGGCUUCGGCUGGUCAGAGUUUGCCAGAGGACCCAAAACUCUUAUUAUUAAUGUCGUCUGAGUACUAUAUAAUAGUUAAAACUUUCAACAACGGAUCUCUUGGUUCUG
rnacentral:misc_RNA from 1 species